CCAGAGGGGAGGUGGGUGGAGGUUAAAUAGGUGAUGGGGAUUAAGCAGUACACCUGUUAUGAUGAGUGCUGGGUGAUGUAUGGAGUUGUUGAAUCACACUCUAUUGUACACUUGAAACUAACAUAACAGUGUAUGUUAACUGCACUGGAAUUUAAAACAAAA